CGGAAAAACUUCAUUUCUACUUCCGUUUCUAUAUUUUUUUGCGAAAACAAGAUCCGGUUCGCUGCCGAGGAGGUCCUCUCCGCGCCUGGCCGGCUCCUCUCCGUAAGGAGAUUACCUGUUUGGCAUGAAGGGGUAAACUUUGGAAUUGUCAGGGCAAAUUGCAACAAACUGUACAAGCAAAUGGACCAUGCGUUUUGAACAACAAGAGGUAUUUGAACCGUGGAGUUGAGAAUUGUGCAAGAAGUGUUUUAGUAAGAGAGCACCACUCAUGCUUACUAGAGAACAACAAGAGGUAUUUGAGCCGUGGAGUUGAGAAUUGAACCAAAUCCAAAUCAGAAGAACAUGCAGAAGCUCUCUGAAAGAGCCAGCGAAGGUCAUUAAGGAAGUGCAGAACUUGAUCCCUUAUCCCUUGGCUCUGAAGAGACGUCUACAAACUGUGAAUCCUCAAGCUCAACUUCAAGGUUUCUCAACACCUGACAAACAUUUGAACUCGCAAUGAUAACAGGGAAACUGUUUCCCCUGAACCUGUUCUCCACCUGUAAAGAUCAGGUUCUCCUGGCAAGUCAAAGGUCUCAACAGUGGGUAGGGCUUCGCGGUGCCGCCUUCCUCCCCCGGCCGUGGCGCCGUGAACUUCCGUCGACCUCCAGCGGGGCCGCCGUCGGCAGGUUGGGCUUUCGUGCCGCCUUCCGAAGGAGUUGAGGCUGUGUUUAGUUUCUCAAAAUCCCUAAAAAAAUUUUGCAUUGAAGGCCGUGUCCCCUCUCACAAA